CACGGGAGGAGGUUGGCGUCGUCGGAGUCUCUUGUGCUGCUUGGAGGGUCGAAGCGGCUCCUGGGAGCAGGUGGAGAGAGACAAGGGAGAGAAUAACAAGAACAGAGUUUUCAGGUGGAAAAAAUAGAUUAUGUGGAACUCAAGAAAAUAUUGCACAAAAAGGUAAAAAGAUAGAAUUACCAAAUGCAGAAAAAGUGGAAAAUAGGAAAAAUCCA
rnacentral:lncRNA from 1 species